rnacentral:rRNA from 1 species
CAAGGAAGGCAGCAGGCGCGCAAAUUACCCACUCCCGGCACGGGGAGGUAGUGACGAAAAAUAACGAUACGGGACUCAUCCGAGGCCCCGUAAUCGGAAUGAGUACACUUUAAAUCCUUUAACGAGGAUCAAUUGGAGGGCAAGUCUGGUGCCAGCAGCCGCGGUAAUUCCAGCUCCAAUAGCGUAUAUUAAAGUUGUUGCGGUUAAAAAGCUCGUAGUCGAAUUUGUGUCGUGCGCCGCCGGUUCAUCGCUCGCGGUGUCAACUGGCGUGUCGCAGGACGUCCUGCCGGUGGACUCAGUUGUCCUGCCGUCCUCCUUCGGGGGUCGGUUCGGGCGACGGUCCAACUUUAAAAAUCCCACCGCGGUGCUCUUCGCUGAGUGUCGAGGUGGGCCGGCACGUUUACUUUGAACAAAUUAGAGUGCUUAAAGCAGGCUAAAAUUUUGCCUGAAUACUGUGUGCAUGGAAUAAUGGAAUAGGACCUCGGUUCUAUUUUGUUAGUUUUCGGAACCCCGAGGUAAUGAUUAAUAGGAACGGAUGGGGGCAUUCGUAUUGCGACGUUAGAGGUGAAAUUCUUGGAUCGUCGCAAGACGGACUUAAGCGAAAGCAUUUGCCAAAAACGCUUUCAUUGAUCAAGAACGAAAGUUAGAGGUUCGAAGGCGAUCAGAUACCGCCCUAGUUCUAACCAUAAACGAUGCCAGCUAGCGAUCCGCCGAUGUUCCUCCGAUGACUCGACGGGCAGCUUCCGGGAAACCAAAGCUUUUGGGUUCCGGGGGAAGU